UACGGGGGGGGUAAGCGUUGUUCGGAAUUACUGGGCGUAAAGGGCUCGUAGGCGGCCAACUAAGUCAGACGUGAAAUCCCUCGGCUUAACCGGGGAACUGCGUCUGAUACUGGAUGGCUUGAAUCCGGGAGAGGGAUGCGGAAUUCCAGGUGUAGCGGUGAAAUGCGUAGAUAUCUGGAGGAACACCGGUGGCGAAGGCGACAUCCUGGACCGGUAUUGACGCUGAGUGAGCGAAAGCCAGGGGAGCAAACGGG
rnacentral:rRNA from 1 species